UUCAGAAUGCAACGGUACAGUUAGAGGCUCUGGGUUGAGAGGACUACUGAAAAACUACUGCUAAGAAAUGCCACUUAUAAUGCAAACCUAUGGAUCUCUGCCCUUGAGUUUUGUGGAUAGAAACCCUACGCACCCAAAACAGGAUGCAGCCAAUGGCUGAAGCCCAGGUUUCAUUCUGGCAAUAAUGGUACUGUGGUCGGCUCUGCAGCAGCAGUGUGCGAGGACAGCAGGGACACAAAGGAAGAGGCUGUGCAAGGGCACAGUUCAAUGAGUUCUUGGAGGCUACAGGCGCAUCCCUGCUGCCCUCUCACAGGUACCCAGCACCUCUGCUUCUAACUGGAGUCACUAAUGCUGGCAGACAGGACACUUCCAUCUGGUGAAAAGGGUCAUGUGGAAGCAAAUCAGCUUCACUGCUAUCACUUCAAAUGCAAAAAUGACAAAGGGAAAGAGACUGCAUGGUCCUACUAUAUUUGUAAUCUGUGUCUGCUAAUAAUUUUGUAAACUUUCUUUGCUGAUUUUUCACAAUUUCUAUCCCACAAGUACUAGGUGAUAAUGGUGAUAAGUCCUAAAUUUUGUGUCUGGGGCUAUUUCAAUCUCAGGACCGUCCACUCACUGAACAAAUGCUGAAAUAAGCAAGGGUCCUGGUUCAUUAAAAACUAACAAACUUCAGCCAAAACCCUGGUGAGCUGCUGUUUAAACAAGUUCAGCUGGCUGCAAAGAAGGAUCAAAAGGAGCUCCUUUCAUAUACUAGUUUCUCUGGAUUCAAAAUGUUGCUAUUUUGGCCCAGGCAGAACCCCGUUCACUAUUCUAAGAUGCAGAAUUGCUCAAGGCUACUUCUGGGAAUUAUUAGAUAUUUGUUAGAGAGAAAGUAGAAGCUUUCUGUCUACAAAGCAGGGAUUUUUAUAUUCUAAGUACCCAGAAGUUUACUUGGAUCACCAUAGCAGGAUCCUCAUGAUUAUUUGUGACUGGUUUAAGAGGUUGCAGUGGGUAAGCCGCUGUUCCAGCAACAUAUUAUUAACCCCUGUGCACCCUCCCUCUCCAGGACACUCACCCAUCUCAGAUCCCACAACACAGGGGGCCUCCCUGAGCUGCCUUUCUCAAAUCUGCAGGGCACAAACAACUCAGCAAUUUUGUUUCCUGUCUACAAAUGUCAUCCAAGAGGGUAGCCAGUGACAAUGUGGGCUGAGUCACCAGAGGAGAUCCCCAAGUCCUCCUCUCCUCAAAGCCUGAGCAGAAUGACUGACUGAAGGAUUUCUUUGUCAUCAUCAGUGACUCCAUAAUCCCUUUAGAAGGGCUGUCUGAAAAGCAGGAGAUGAAGCAGGGAUUCUAUACAGAAGACAAUUAAUUCUUCAAUAAGAAUUGAACCAGAGGAAGAAGUAUACUCAGGACUAAAAAUUCUUUUUAUAUGUGACUCAGAACUAGCAACUUGGUAAACUUCUUUCACUGAUAGAGGGCAUGACCUCUGGGCUGUAUCUGGCUUCCUAGUCCAUGUCAAAUUGUCUGAGUGGUGUGAGAGUGUGCCUUCUGCCCUGUGGCCUGCUGAGGCUGGUCUUUGGUUAUGUGUCCUGCGCUGUGGCUAGGCAGUUAAGUACCCGAGGGACAGGCCCUGUUCCUGACAGCCCUGGGAUUCUCAGUGAGGAAAGGCCUGGCCACAGUGGGCAGCAGGUACCUCCUGGAACAACUGGCUGAGGGAAGAAAAAAGAGGAUAUGAAGAUGAGAUUAAUGAGUGAAUGAGGAGGA